CCUACGGGGAGCUGCAGUGAGGAAUAUUGGUCAAUGGGCGCGAGCCUGAACCAGCCAAGUAGCGUGAAGGAUGACUGCCCUACGGGUUGUAAACUUCUUUUAUAAAGGAAUAAAGUGAGGCACGUGUGCCUUUUUGUAUGUACUUUAUGAAUAAGGAUCGGCUAACUCCGUGCCAGCAGCCGCGGUAAUACGGAGGAUCCGAGCGUUAUCCGGAUUUAUUGGGUUUAAAGGGAGCGUAGGUGGAUUGUUAAGUCAGUUGUGAAAGUUUGCGGCUCAACCGUAAAAUUGCAGUUGAAACUGGCAGUCUUGAGUACAGUAGAGGUGGGCGGAAUUCGUGGUGUAGCGGUGAAAUGCUUAGAUAUCAUACAGAACACCGAUUGCGAAGGCAGCUUACCAAGCUACUUCUGACGUUGAGGCACGAAAGCGUGGGGAGCAAACAGGAUUAGAUACCCUUGUAGUC
rnacentral:rRNA from 1 species